AGAGUUUGAUCAUGGCUCAGAACGUACGCUGGCGGCACGCCUAACACAUGCAAGUCGAACGAAGUAGCAAUACUUAGUGGCAGACGGGUGAGUAACAUGUGGGUAUCUACCCUUUGGCCUGGAAUAACACGAGGAAACUUGUGCUAAUACCGGAUAAGUCUUUACGGAGAAAGCUUUAUGCACCAUUGGAUGAGCCCGCACUUGAUUAGUUUGUUGGUAGGGUAAUGGCCUACCAAGACUAUGAUCAAUAGCUGAUUUGAGAGGAUGAUCAGCCACAUUGGGACUGAGACACGGCCCAAACUCCUACGGGAGGCAGCAGUGGGGAAUCUUGCACAAUGGAGGAAACUCUGAUGCAGCGAUGCCGCGUGAGUGAAGAAGGCCCUUGAGUUGUAAAGCUCUUUCGUCGGGGAAGAAAAUGACGGUAGCAGUAGAAGAAACCCCGGCUAACUCCGUGCCAGCAGCCGCGGUAAUACGGAGGGGGUUAGCGUUGUUCGGAAUUACUGGGCGUAAAGCGUACGUAGGCGGAUUAAUAAGUUAGAGGUGAAAUCCCAGGGCUCAACCCUGGAACUGCCUUUAAAACUGUUAGUCUUGAGAUCGAGAGAGGUGAGUGGAAUUCCAAGUGUAGAGGUGAAAUUCGUAGAUAUUUGGAGGAACACCAGUGGCGAAGGCGGCUCACUGGCUCGAUACUGACGCUGAGGUACGAAAGUGUGGGGAGCAAACAGGAUUAGAUACCCUGGUAGUCCACACCGUAAACGAUGAAUGCCAGACGUCAGCAAGCAUGCUUGUUGGUGUCACACCUAACGGAUUAAGCAUUCCGCCUGGGGAGUACGGUCGCAAGAUUAAAACUCAAAGGAAUUGACGGGGGCCCGCACAAGCGGUGGAGCAUGUGGUUUAAUUCGACGCAACGCGCAGAACCUUACCAACCCUUGACAUACUUGUCGCGGAUUCCAGAGAUGGAUUCCUUCAGUUCGGCUGGACAAUGUACAGGUGCUGCAUGGCUGUCGUCAGCUCGUGUCGUGAGAUGUUCGGUUAAGUCCGGCAACGAGCGCAACCCACGUCCUUAGUUACCAGCAUUUAGUUGGGUACCCUAAGGAGACUGCCGGUGAUAAGCCGGAGGAAGGUGUGGACGACGUCAAGUCAUCAUGGCCCUUACGGGUUGGGCUACACACGUGCUACAAUGGCAUCUACAGUGAGUUAAUCUCCAAAAGAUGUCUCAGUUCGGAUUGGGGUCUGCAACUCGACCCCAUGAAGUUGGAAUCGCUAGUAAUCGCGGAACAGCAUGCCGCGGUGAAUACGUUCCCGGGCCUUGUACACACCGCCCGUCACACCAUGGGAAUUGGGUCUACCCGAAGGUGGUGCGCCAACUAUUUAUAGAGGCAGCCAACCACGGUAGGUUCAGUGACUGGGGUGAAGUCGUAACAAGGUA
rnacentral:rRNA from 1 species